CAGCUUCUUGGACAACAUCUGCUGCUGCCGAACCAACAGCUACCACUGUGUCCAUUUUACAGGACAUGUCUGGAAGGAGAAGAAGUGGAGACUCCAUGGAGAAGACGAUGAGUAUCUCUCCAUCAGGCAGGCUGGGGAGGACUGGAGGAAGGGAAAGAUGCACUGGAAGUGGAAGACACCAAAAUACAUAAUGGAAGGGUGGCAACCUCCAUCCCUAAGGCUAUUUAAAUAGUAACAUAAUGAGACACUACGUGCAGAACCUGCAACAAUCUGGACAUCUGGAGUUGGCUGGACCUCCUGGAACUGGAAAGGUGUUGACUCGCCUGUUUGUGUCAGCCAAAGUGUGGAAGGUGCUGAGGAGGGUCAGUGCACAACUACUUCUACUCCCAAAUCUAAACUUAAAGCCAAGUAUGAUGGAAAGACUGUAUUUCUUCAGCUUGUGAAGUCUGUUCCCAUCUUUUCUUUGUGUUCUGAGGUUUCUCUAGAAAUGUCAAGAAGUUUUCCAAGUCUUUCUACAAGUGCUCACCUCUAUAGCAAAGCAGCAAGGCAAGUAAACACAGCACUGAGGAACUGCAGAGGAAGAGGGUGACUUUAAAGCUCACACAGCCUCAUUGCUACUUGGUGAACUCAACAUAGUGAAGUUCUCCUUGCCCACAAGAAUUUAAAUGAGGAGAUCCUGCCACAAUGAUCUGGGGCAAAGAUGAACACUCAAAUGCAAAAGCCAUUGUCAAACCAAGUUGUGAAAGAUAGCAGUCAAGCACUUGUCAGCUGCAAGAGCAGUAGAAGCCCAUCCACAGCAACCCAGCAAGAGCAAGUUCUCCACAAAGUAAUGUGUGAUCCAAGAAAGCUUAACUGCAGCCAGUUGAGUGAAAAGGAGUUUGUGUGCAUAAGGCUCUUAACAUAAACUAACUAUGGCUGUUGUUGAUCUUACUUCCUAGGAUCCUUCACAAUGAGGCUGGUAGUUGAAUAAAUCAGCAAAAAGCUCCAAUGCUCCUUGCAAAACAGAAAUCAACUGUCACUGGGUAUUAAUGGAGUGAGAAAAGUAAUUAGGUUUAAUUUCAAAUGUCUCGGCCAAUUAAAUAGCAGAGUGAGAAAAGCUGUUUAAUUCAGCUCCACUCAUCAAACCCAAAAUUGUUAAAUUGUCCACAUCUAGAAAUCUCAUGCUGAGCCCAUGGAAGGCUUAGGCAGGCCUUAUUUGGGAAAACACGCAAGCUGUGGACAAGUUGUCAUGACCAAGUGUACCUUAUGUUUUUCUGGUUCAUAAAACUUGAGUCUUUUAGGUUUAAAUGCUUCAAAGCUCACCUCUGCCCCCUGACAUUCUCAAGGAACCAAGCUGAGCCUGGCCAAACCAAGAGCUGUCACCUGGUCCAGCCCUGCUGCAGUCUCAGACAUCACGAUGGCUGGCCAGACACCACUGCUUUCUUAUGCUGUAUCUGUGUGAAAACAUCUUUGACAACUUGGAAGUAACUAUUGUAAGAGACAAGGUCCAAAGUGCAAAGCUUGUGUUGAAAGCGUGGGAGCAUGGGAGAUGAACGUGAGAAAGAUAUAUGAUGUCUACAGCUUUCAGAGAUAUAGAGUCUAUAGCCAGAAGCUCACGGGGUCUGUAGCUCUGAAUGACUGACAGACUGAUUGGCUGGGGCAGGGUUUAAUACAAACCUGGACAAGGUUUCACAUCCACACUCCUUGCCCUAUCACAAGACCCAUGCUCACUUGCAACUGGCAAAGCCAAUGAAGAUUUUCUGCUCAGUACUAGCAUUUGUUUCCCUUUGGCUACAGCAGAAGUGCUCCUGUUGGGGGCUGACAGCUGAUCAAGGGAAAAUCUGCGUGGUAACAUCAGAACACUGUUGAAAGCCAGAGGAGAAAAAUGGGAGGAAUGGGGUGCAGAGGGGAAGAGAAGUGGGGCUUGGAUGUAUUGCUACUCUGCUCUUGGCUUUAAGCUGCCUCUUCCAGCAGCUCGUGUGUACAGCUGAUUUUAUGAAAGCAGAUAGUUUGCACAAGACCUCUCUUGCUAGCUUGUGCAGUGACUUGCCUUGCUGAAGUUGCUGAUCUGCACACCCAGAGGCAGUGGAUUUGGGAGCCUGGCAUCUGCCUGACAGGCAAUAAAUGAAGGUCACCAAACUAAUGUCAUGUUUGCCUCUGAGAACUCAUUGGAUGAAGACAACUUAUAGCCACUGUGAACCUUUGCUGGUUUUGAAUCUGUGACCCAGAGAUGAAAGGCCUUCUGUCCUAGUGCCAGUUCUUUGAGUGGCUCUGCUGUAACAAUAAAUAUCCCCCAAAUCUCUUGAAACUCACAGUGAUUAUAGCCUUAAAAUAAACUUAUAGCACAA